GAUGAACGCUGGCGGCGUGCCUAAUACAUGCAAGUCGAGCGAACAGACGAGGAGCUUGCUCCUCUGACGUUAGCGGCGGACGGGUGAGUAGCACGUGGAGAACCUCCCUAUAAGACUGGGAUAACUUCGGGAAACCGGAGCUAAUACCGGAUAAUAUAUUGAACCGCAUGGUUCAAUAGUGAAAGACGGUUUUGCUGUCACUUAUAGAUUGAUCCGCGCCGCAUUAGCUAGUUGGUAAGGUAACGGCUUACCAAGGCAACGAUGCGUAGCCGACAUGAGAGCGUGAUUGGCCACACUGGCACUGAGACACGGCCCAGACACCUACGGGAGGCAGCAGUAGGGAAUCUUCCGCAAUGCGGGAAAGCUUGAUGGAGCAAAGCCGCGUGAGUGAUGAAGGUCUUCGGAUCGUAAAACUCUGUUAUUAGGGAAGAACAAAUGUGUAAGUAACUAUGCACGUCUUGACGGUACCUAAUUAGAAAGCCACGGCUAACUACGUG
rnacentral:rRNA from 1 species